rnacentral:lncRNA from 1 species
CUCUCACAGCGAUUUGCCUUUUUGGCCAUCCGUUUUUGCGAUCUCGAAGUUUCUGGCCGUUGGAUUUUGUGCUAAAUCGAUCUGAUCUACAGUGUGCUUAGUCUGGCCCAGCUGUCCUUUGGUCUGCUACUCCAGAGGCCGAAAGCAAGGCCUCUGAUGCAUUGGGUCAAGUGCGAGCUUCCAGCCCAUUCGAAGGAGGGAGGCAUAGGAGCGACCACGUGAGGUCCAUCCGAUAGCGAACCCUCCUAAUCCAAUCCCGAUGUGAAGAAAAACAUUGUUUGGUCCAUAGGAUGCGGGGCACGCGAAGAGAGCAGGCGCGCAAGGGGAUCGACCGUGAGUGAAGCCGGUCGAGGCGAGCGAGGGGAGUCGAUCCGGCGCAGAUCCAGCGCGAUGCGGUUCAGCGGGGGCGCUCGACGAUUCAAUCAUAGGCGAUAGAAAUAAUCAUUUAUGUGGACCUUAGUGGCAAUUGAUGUGCCCACUCGCCAAUGUCCGUUGCUACAAACCUUAAUGGCAAUUGAUGUGCCCAGGUCGGUUAUCAUGUCGAUCCGUGUUCCUACAGUACUCCAUUUGCAUCCAUAUAUAGUCUCGAUCAUCGCAUUGUCCCUCCCCAUCCCAUCCUUACUUCGGCAGGUUGCUACUUAUUUUCUUUGUUCCCUCUUCCCCAAUUAUUUCUCAAUCAAAUUCCUGAAAUUAUCUUAUUGAUGUUGUUUUUUCUACUCCAAGUUGAAUAGAAGGUGCUCUGAGUUGACGGAUUCGAGCUCGUUUCUGCUCGGCUGGGUUCUCCCUUGCCGCUCCAAUGGCUUCAGGUCAGGAUAUUAUCGGUGUUAUAUUACUAGCUAUGUGUACUCAUCCUGCUGCACAUGGUGUCUACAGUUGGACAGUAUUAUUUUGAUCCAUGACUACAAUUGGUUUCUUAAAUCUGUAUCCUGUUUGGGGGAUUUUGGUAUCCGUAUGGAUUAUUCUGUCGAAGGGACUCUGUUCUAGGAAUCCGAGAACACCAUAGCUUCAUAUGAUGACGGCAUAUGGAGCAACUUCUUCUGUAUAUCUUGUUGGAUAAUGUAUUGACAUGCUUCCAAAGCCUCUAACUGAAUGUAUCCCUUUCAUUAUAUAACAUACACACUGAAUUCCAGAAUUGCUUACUGAAUUUGAAAAAGUAAUGAAGCAGGUACAUGCAUAGAGGUAUCCACGCAAAUAAAAAGUCAAAUACCUAAUGGAUAGGAUCCAUACCCAGCUUGGCCAUCAACCAAUAUUAUCUCAAGAUAUUGGCAAUUAAUCUUUGUUUUACGAAGAUUACUUGAAAAGAAACACUGAUUUGGUCUGAGAUUUUGGUCUGACGAUGUAUUAUUGUGGCAAUAGGGGCUCCCUUCCCUCUAAACUUCUGUGUUGUCAUCAAGAUGAUCCUAAAAUGCAGAGAGUGUGUGCGUGUGUGUGUGUGUGAGAGAGAGAGAUACAGAUGAGGAGAUGUUUGUAUUUAUAAGUUUUCUUAAUGAGCCUAUAUACAGUCAAGGAGCUGCACUAGAGAACAUUUAUUAAACAGAGGAAUUACAUAUUUAGGUUUUCUUGUAUGAUGUUAGUUUCAAUUCAUUCCUAAGCUGGACAGUAAAAUUAGCCACCACCUAGGUUUAUUGAGCUUAAAAUAGAUGCCUCUUUUAAUGGAGAUCAUUUAUGCAAUUAUGCUGGAGCAAUCAACCCAGAUGGUAAUGUGUUUCUUGUAUAGCUGAACUGGAUUAUGUUCUAGAUGCUCAGAUGGUGGAAGCUCAUGGACUAAGACAUGGCUUACUGCCACGCUCUCGCUGGAUGUGGUCGUCUUGCUAUUAAAUCAAAAGGCAUGAUGAUCAGUCACAACACCCGACGACUGGAGUGUAUGAUGACUAUUACCACUUAUCCACAUAUUUUGUCAAGAUAAUCUUCGACCACUGUCCCUAGGAAGAUAAUGCAAUUGCCCAUGAGCUUGUUGUGUUGAGAGAUGAGGAUUCCCCACCUUGCAUUGUACCUCUUUUUUCGAAGAGCACUCUACCUCUUCUUUUAUAGGAGAGCAUUGUACCUCUUCUAGCCGAAGAUAUAACUGUUAUUGAUUUUUAGUAGACAUUUUUCUGUAGAAACUAAUUCAUUCCUAUUAAGUCUUUACCUUUUAUUUGUG